AAUUUCAAUAUUUUAUAUUAUACAAGUGUCAAGAGUUAUAAAAAUAAAAUAAACAUUUAAUGUUGACCUAUUAACUAUUACUUUUUGUGGACCUAAAUAUUUAUAAAAAUAUUCUAAUUAAUAUUUUGUAAUAUUACGUUAGAUGUAUAAAUUCUGAGCUUUUAUUAUUAACUAAAAUGUUGGGCUGUGAUGGCUCUAUGACUUUACAUGGUAUCGAGUAGCUUGUUAAUAUAAUUAUUAAAUUAUUCAGACUUCAAGGCUUCAACAUAUCCGUCGUAAAUACAGUAUUUUAACAAUACUGUAUGGGUGUGUUGGAUCAAGUCGCUUUUGUUGGCCUUCAUGGCAAACACACAGCCAUUGAGCCACACCUGCGGCAUUGCAAUCUCUAACUAAUGGAACGGGUUCAAACAACGAUAAGCCAGUACUAGUAGCUGCAAAAUGAUUCUUAACGUUUUGGUCUUGGAUACUAUUUACAUAGAUAUCAUAGGUGGAUGUCAGUCUCAUACGGUUGUCACGGAGGGAUUCUUUCCAGGAUGGAUACUUCAUGCUUACCCAUUCUGGAAUUACUACUGUGACCAUUGGCAUUCGGUCCUCUAUGGUUCCAACUUUGGUUCGCCGAAUAAAAUCCAUACGAUUGCCAUGAUCACCGAGCACAAAAACCACAGUUCGA